GAUAAAUAGCCGCGGUACCCUGACCGUGCUAAGGUAGCGUAAUCAGUUGACUUUUAAUUGGAGUCAGGAAUGAAUGGAAUAACUGGGUUUAACUGUCUCUAAUCUAUUAUGUUGAAUUUACUGUUCAAGUGAAAAAGCUUGAAAUUUAUAAAAAGACGAGAAGACCCUUAGAAUUUUUUUAAAAACAAUAAUACUUGCAAUAAUUUUGUUGGGGCGACAAGGAGAUAAAUCUAAACUUUCUCUAUAUCUACAUGACAACUAUACUGUGAAAGAAUAAAUUACCUUAGGGAUAACAGCAUAAUUCUAUAAUUGAGUUUGUGACCUCGAUGUUGGACUAGGAAACUAGCAGGUUAGCCGUUUGCUAAGUAGGUUCUGUUCGAACUAUCAUUCCU
rnacentral:rRNA from 1 species